rnacentral:misc_RNA from 1 species
GUGAAUCAUCGAAUUUUUGAACGCAAAUUGCACUCUCUUCGGAGCGUAUGCCUGUUUGAGGGUCAGUAUUAAUAAAAAUAGGAGUGUUACCUCUUUUUGGCGCCCCGGAGUUUUGGUCAUCUUAAUAUCCUUUAGGGUCUAAUAGGCUUAAAAUUGACUUUUUUUGCGCAUAUUAGAUGUACAUAAAUCCUUUUUUUUAUUUGUCUGUCAUAAUGCUCAAAAUCCUAUUAGAUGCUUUCAUAUCGU